rnacentral:rRNA from 1 species
GACGAACCGUGCGAACGUUAUUCGGAAUCACUGGGCUUAAAGCGCGUGUAGGUGGCUUGGCACGUCUGUCGCUGAAAUCCCACGGCUCAACCGUGGAACGGGCGUGGAUACGACCAGGCUUGAGGGAUGUAGGGGGAUCGGGAACUUCCGGUGGAGCGGUGAAAUGCGUUGAGAUCGGAAGGAACGCCCGUGGCGAAAGCGCGGUCCUGGACAUUUCCUGACACUGAGACGCGAAAGCUAGGGGAGCAAA